UAACGCGUGGGUAACCUGCCUCAUACAGGGGGAUAACAGUUAGAAAUGACUGCUAAUACCGCAUAAGCGCACGGGACUGCAUGGUCCAGUGUGAAAAACCGAGGUGGUAUGAGAUGGACCCGCGUCUGAUUAGCUGGUUGGCGGGGUAACGGCCCACCAAGGCGACGAUCAGUAGCCGACCUGAGAGGGUGGCCGGCCACAUUGGGACUGAGACACGGCCCAAACUCCUACGGGAGGCAGCAGUGGGGAAUAUUGCACAAUGGGGGAAACCCUGAUGCAGCAACGCCGCGUGAGUGAAGAAGUAUUUCGGUAUGUAAAGCUCUAUCAGCAGGGAAGAGAAUGACGGUACCUGACUAAGAAGCCCCGGCUAACUACGUGCCAGCAGCCGCGGUAAUACGUAGGGGGCGAGCGUUAUCCGGAUUUACUGGGUGUAAAGGGAGCGUAGACGGUUCUGCAAGUCUGAAGUGAAAGCCCGUGGCUUAACCGCGGAACGGCUUUGGAAACUGUGGAACUGGAGUGCUGGAGAGGCAAGCGGAAUUCCUAGUGUAGCGGUGAAAUGCGUAGAUAUUAGGAGGAACAUCAGUGGCGAAGGCGGCUUGCUGGACAGUAACUGACAUUGAGGCUCGAAAGCGUGGGAGCAAACAGGAUUAGAUACCCUGGUAGUCCACGCGGUAAACGAUGAAUGCUAGGUGU
rnacentral:rRNA from 1 species